rnacentral:rRNA from 1 species
CACGUAGGGCGCAGGCGUUGUCCGGAAUUAUUGGGCGUAAAGGGCCAGUAGGCGGCCAACUAAGUCACACGUGAAAUCCCCAGGCUUAACCUGGGAACUGCGUGUGAUACUGGAUGGCUUGAAUUCGGGAGAGGGAUGCAGAAUUCCAGGUGUAGCGGUGAAAUGCGUAGAUAUCUGGAGGAACACCUGUGGCGAAAGCGGCGCACUGGACCACAACUGACGCUGAGGCGCGAAAGCUAGGGGAGCAAACAGG